rnacentral:tRNA from 1 species
AAGACAUUAGUAAAAUAAUUACAUCACCUUGUCAAGGUGAAGUUGCGGGUUAAAACCCCACAUGUCCUUUUA